GGUUGACCUCGAAUCAGG
rnacentral:rRNA from 2 species